rnacentral:rRNA from 1 species
UACGGGGGGGGUAAGCGUUGUUCGGAAUUACUGGGCGUAAAGGGCUCGUAGGCGGCCAACUAAGUCAGACGUGAAAUCCCUCAGCUUAACUGGGGAACUGCGUCUGAUACUGGAUGGCUUGGAUUCGGGAGAGGAAUGCGGAAUUCCAGGUGUAGCGGUGAAAUGCGCAGAUAUCAGGAGGAACACCAAUGGCGAAGGCAGCUCGCUGGGACGUGACUGACGCUGAGACGCGAAAGCGUGGGGAGCAAACAGG